rnacentral:rRNA from 1 species
UGGUGGUUUGAAUUGUCUGGUUUAUUCCGAUAACGUAACAAGACCUUUUCCUGCUAUUUAGCAAAGGAGGGUCUCAUAUAAUUGAUUGGGAAGGUUCACUUGUCCAUCGUCUUGAGAAUCCCAUAUCUUAGCUUCUUAGAGGUACGCUUUUUGUUUGUGAAAUAAUUAAAAGGAAGAAAGACAAUAACA